AGCUGGCUGCUUUUGCUGUAAGGAAACACAGCUGAUUCAUGCUUAUUUCACCCACCCUCAGACAUCUACAAUGUAGAUAGAUCUCCCUGUCUGAGCUAGGCACCAAAGGCUGCCUUUGAACACAGUGGCAGAAAUAGGUGCCUGACCUAUUUCAGACAUCUACUUUAGCAGGAGAUGAAUCACACUCCAGCAAAACCUGUUUCCCUCCACUGACUAUAAAGGGAGAACAGAGUGGCUAGUUUUGAUAUAAACAUCUAUACUAGAGGCAUUUACAUUCAGCCACAUUAAUCCUGCCUUAUAAAUUUUACCACAUCCCCAGAUUUUGUUGGAAGACAUUAUACAUUUGCAUGUGAGAGACUGUGCAUGUGUGUGUUCACACAGACACACAGGUUUUCUUCAAAUGUAAAAAGAAUACAGUUUAUAACAAUACAGGUAUGCAAAAAUGCACCGAGCUAGAAAUUGAGAGAGCUGAUUUACAUUUCAACUGCAGAUAUUCUACCAAAUAUCAACCCUACUAAUUUCUGUAGGUUAGUAUUCUUUAUACACAUGCCUGAAAUUUUAUUUUUAACACUCUAGCUAACAUGAAUAUUUUUUUCUGGUAAUAUUAAAUUGAUUUUUCUAAGGGGAAAUAUAAAAUUCUGCUUUGAAACAUGUUGUAGUAGGCUUCUUGUGGGGGCAUGGGAUGUACGGGACAGGCUUCUCCCUCAGCAUAGAGAGACAGUGCUAUCGUGCUGACCUUGAUGCAGAGAAAACAGGAGAAGAAGGAUGAGAAAAGAAUGUGGAAACGGCCAAAUAAGGCACAAUGUUAUCUGGUGUGAACCAAUCAGGGUGGGACAUGACAGCAUGGUUUUGUAGGUAAAAAUGUAUCUAAGCUGUGUUUAGUAGUGAAUAAACACCAUUUUGCUGCUCAUCAUAUUAGUGUGCGUCUGCCGUCAUUUGGCCCUGAUCAGGUAAUUGGUCAGUGAGCGCAGAGGCCUAACACAGGUGGCUAACAUCGUUGUUGCAGAAAGCAACAAAUGGUGCCCCGUGUGAGGAGGCAGACUGUGUUUUAAUGCCCUCUGUGCAGCUGCAAGCUGUGGGGUGACGCCAUAGCGUGAGAUUUGGGGUGACGCCCAGCCCGAGUACCCUGAAGAGAGGGGGAGCCUGCAGAAGACGAUUGGGGUGACGCCCUGCAGAAGAUCAUGGUGACGACGAUAGUGCCGGCCAGCAAGUAGAACCUGUGUUGCGGUGGGGUCCGGGGGGACGACAGGACGCUCACGGAGGACCCGUGUGGACGGCGGCGUCAAGUGUGACUUCGUGGUGACGGCGACGGGCUGAUCAUGGACCAUGUUCUUAAGAAAGAGAGACAGAGGAAGUGCCAACACAGAGGUAACCAUGAAAAUUCUAGAGGUGAGCAGCCCUGGGCAACGGCCCUGCAAAGACACCCCCUGGCCCCACAUGUCCACCACUCCAUCACGUGCUCUCCAUCCACUCACUUUGUCUCCUUUGCCAGCAGUUUGGGACUUCCGCACGUCUUCACAGCACUUGAGGAUGCAGUAAGUAAAAUUGUCCCUUCUUGGAACACGGCAGCCCUCUCCAGUCACCUCCCACCAAAUGAAAUCCCACUAACACUGCUCUCUGCUCUGCUACAGCUCCUCAGUGCCCAGGAAAAUGGAUAAGAACUGUGAAAUACUCGACCAGUUCAACAGACGUCUUCAGGCCUUGACCAGAUGCAUGGCGAUGCUCACCUUGGAACUGCCUGAGGGCAGCGAUGAUUCCACCAGCUCGGUCACAGUGAGUGAAAACCGCUGCUCUUUGAGGACAUCGCUGUAUCCGUUGAGCACCAGUUGGGGGGAAAUGGAGGCACCUUACCGACACCCAAAAGCCCAGGAGAACUUGGAAAGCUCCAUCCCAGAAAGGAAAGCGGAGCAGGGACUGGGCCUCAGUGAUCAGAGAAAGCCUGAUGUGAUGGUGGCUCCCACGGUGCAGGACCUGCCCUUAGAGGAUGAGGCUAUGCAAAGUCAUUCGGAGCAUCCUAACAUAAAAAUGCAGGCACCACAGUUCCUGAAGAGGAGUUUCUCAGAGCCUGUCCUGGGUCAGAGAGACUCCCAGCUUCCCCAUCCUCUGAGGCACUCAAGGAGGCCCACUUACUCGCUCUUCCAGCGUGGGCAUGGGCAAGCUCUGGCAAGGAGGUCAGCAGCACAGGCCCUUGUCCCACGGCGAAAAUCUGCCCCCGAGACAGAUAAGUGCAGACAAGAAACAAGGAUUCCAGUCCACAUUGCCUGCUGCAGAAUCUAUGAAGGCCCUGAUGACCAUCAGAUCAAGAUGAUGCAUCUGUGGCUGGAGCAAUAUGAAUAUGUUGAGAGGCGAAAGUUGGAAUUUUAUAGAGACUACUACACCCAGCCUAACAAUGAAGGAUCCCAGGGCGUGGCUCCAUCUGACACUGCAGCCCCGGUUGUUGCAGGAGGAGCAACAGUUCGAGAGAGGAAUUCACCCGAGGUCAAGGCCAGUGAGCAACAGGACAAGAAAAAUACCACUGCUGCCCAGCAGCCAGAGGGGCUCCCUGAACGUACCCUCGUGGAGAGUUCUUCGGUUGUGCCAUGGAGGCGUCUGCCACAGGGUAGACCAUUCAGACCCCAAGCAGCACACGCAGAGAUGACGCCCAGGCAAGAAGCAGCAGAACACACGACUCCUAGACCAGAGACACCACCUACGCUGUGCAGAAACUGCUGUGCACCAGCCCUCCUGUGCCAUUUCAUUCAGAAUGCCGGGGCCAAGCUCCGAGCUGCCAGCAUGGCCCUCUAUUCCCUGAUCAGAAAGGCAACUAAGAAGCUCUCAAAGAAGGGAAGAGAGCCCAUCAUGAAAAACAGAUCCUUAGAGCAGGCCAGGCUGGACACAGAUCAACGUAGGAGCAGACGAUCACUGAGUCUACUGGCCAAAAAGAAAAACCCACGUACACCUCAGGAGGCAAUGAGGAAGGACAUGGUGGCAUCUCAAGAUAAGACUUUCAGCGAUGCCAGUGAGGCCAGAGGUGCCGAAAAAGCAUUGAGCCAGGGUGGCAGCAGCCACAGGCACCUGGACGUGCUGGCUCCUGUUGCCCGUAGAGAGCCAGCCAACGUGCUGCUACCUCGGAGAAGGCUGCUCUUGGAGACUGAAGCUCCUGCCCCAUCUCAGUCUGUUCUAGCAGAUGUCCAGGCAGGCACAGCUGCAGUGAGUAGUGGAUUACUGCCAGAUGCUACCAGGGGGCAGAAGCAGAAGGGCAAGGGACACACCCAGGACAAGCCAGCUCCUCCAAGAAGAAAGUCCCCAAAGAAAAAGCAGUCCUCCAGUGAGCAGAGACCCUCAGGUCUGCCACAGCCUCCAAAUCCCACUGGGACCAACGUUCCAGUCCUCUUCGUGCAGCAGCAGAGACCCUCAGGUCUGCCACAGCCUCCAAAUCCCACUGGGACCAACGUUCCAGUCCUCUUCGUGCAGCAGCAGAGACCCUCAGGUCUGCCACAGCCUCCAAAUCCCACUGGGACCAACGUUCCAGUCUUCAUGCUGGAGCAGAGACCCUCAGGUCUGCCACAGCUUCCAAAUCUCGCUGGGACCGAC
ensembl:lncRNA